CAGCGCCGCGCCGUGCAGAGAACGUGCCACUCUUUUUAACCAGGUGAGCCCCAUGUUUCCAACCAACAAGACAAACGAAAGAGACUGCAGGCUACACAAGUACUACUAUUGGAUAUCUAGCAGAACACAAGAAGAGUCUCAAGGCUGCAGGAGGGGCACUUAAACAGCGGACGAUUUAUAAAUAGUUACGAAAAGAAGGUACUUAGUUCCAAAAGCUGCAGAACAAUGUUACGGGCUGUGACUCCAAUCUCAGGCGGUUGGUAAAGAACUUGUGCGGUAGUUUUCUAAUAGAAGGCAACUGAACUUUGGGACUAAAACUAAUUAAAAAAUAUUAUACUUUUCUCAGUGAACAUAAUAAAAAUGACCUUGAUCCAGGCAGCCUACGGACUGGGUCAGUUAGUAACUUCUUACCAAUCGCCUCAGGCCUCUCACUAAAGUCCAAGAAGCAGCGAGCAGGAGGGACCGAAAGUCAAUGAGUAAAUUUUUCACUCGACGACUAUUUAAGGCACAUCACACACUACCUGAAUCAGUACCUAAUAGUCAAAUGGCACCUGUCUUUUUGUAUAAUACCGGUUAUUACAUCUAACCGGGGCCCAGGGCACUCUUUGUAGGAAGGCCGGUCAACGGUUGCUAUACCAUCCUAGUAAGCAUUCUUACAGCAGUUUUCCGUUAUACUUAAUAUCUAAUAAUACGUAACCCUUCGUAUGCCUUUGUUAAACAUUUGCUACUGAUUUAAUAACCUACUGAUAUGAAUGAAAAUUGUAAAUUACAGUCCAAAUUGUGUGGUACGUACUACCACGUACACGGGACAAGGCAUACGAAAUUUUAAGAGGAAAUAGGACAGCCGCUUCAAACAAACGUAGUCCCCAUUUUGCUCUCAGGAUAUUGACAUUAUGGAAAAUUAUUUUUACAUAUUUUAAUUUAUACUUAUUAUUCUUAUUAACUAUUAUUACUUAGCUAUGCCUCUACGUAUGACAUUUUUCUCUGCAGCUGACUGGUGGCAGACCCUCCAACGCGUUCGGUCCCUAUAAGCUAUAGCUCAAUAAAUUCAAAAAAUAAAACGAUGCGGCAUGUCUGUGAUUGAUAUGUACCUACUUGACAUCAAAUUGUGUAAAAAUAUUAUAAAUUAUAAAUUGAAAUAGAUGAUUUGUUAUGAAAGGUGAUUUUGCGCCGGUCGACUUUUCAAAUAGUUAUUGUUAACGAUCUUUUGAUAUUUUGUGAAAGGGUAACAGCCCAAAAUGUAAAAAAAAAAAAAAAAAAGUUCUCCCGUGGCGGGAAUUGAACCCAGGUCACAAGCGAACACUUUGCGUUGGGCCAAGCAUACAUAGAUCUGCUUGCUAGAUUAAGACCAAGAUAACUCUGCAGAGAUUUUCAUAGUAGUCGAUUAACAAAAUAUCUUUAAUAAUGUUAGUUAUAAAUUGAAAUAUAUGUCCAUCUAUCCAGAGAUAAAUCUAUCCUGUCAUCCACUUUUAUUCUAUAAAAAUGAACUACAUUCAUUUAACGUUUUUAGCAAAUCAAGAUAAAACAAUUUAAAACAUUGUUAACGAUCUUCUGAUAUUUUGUGAAACGGAAAAGUAACGGAAAAAAUAAAAAUAAUAAUAAACAAAAAGUUCACCCUAGGUGGGAUUCGAACCCGGGGUCACAAUGCGUGCACACUUUAUGCAACCAUGUUCUAAACCUUAUUACAAAAAGCAUAAGGUCCACCGAUGGAUAGUUAAGAGUAUUGCUGUUUGUACCUAAGCCGGUUUUCUGAAAGGAGAAACUCAGCGCAAAAAGUAAAAAAAAAAAACGAAAAAGUUGACCGAUGGCGGGAAUAGAACCCAAGUCACAAGCGAACACUUUGUGCUAAGUCAAACAUACCUAAGCUGCUAGCUAGAUUCAGACCAGACAUGCAAGUGUUAUAUUUUAAAUGUCAAACAGCUAUGAAAUUAUGACUUUAAAAUAACACUUUGCAAGUCUUUGCUUUGAAAAACACUGCAGCGUUACCUUGGUCUUACUCUGCCACCCUAGUUAGUAAGCAUGCUAAAAGCAGUUUUCCAGAAUUAUUAGUCGAUUAAUGUCUACAAGGAAAAAUGACAAAUUAUAAUAAUGUAAAAAAAAACCGCCCAAGUGCAUGUCAGUAUCGCGCACGAAGGGUUCCGUUACUCAAAAACCCUAAAAACGGGAAAAAAUCACGUUUGUUGUAUGGGAGCCCCAUUUAAAUAUUUAUUAUAAUCUGUUUUUAGUAUUUGUUGUUAUAGCGGCAACAGAAAUACAUCAUAUGUGAACAUUUCAACUGCCUAGCUAUCACGGUUCAUGAGGUACAGCCUGGUGACAGACAGACGA